GGGCCGGUAGCUCAGCAUGGCUAGAGCGUUCGGCUGAUAACCGGAAGGCCGCCGGUUCGAAUCCGGCCCGGCCCA
rnacentral:tRNA from 1 species